rnacentral:tRNA from 1 species
AAUUAAUGAGCUUGAUAAAGCAUUUGUUUUGAAAACUUAAGAAAGAAAUAUAAAUUUCUAUUAAUUU